rnacentral:lncRNA from 1 species
CUGCCCUAAAUAACUCACUUCAGUUUCAAUGCCAUGAAGGAGGAUGGGUAACAAACCAGAAUAGAACAAGGAGUUCUUGGGAGGAAGCACACACUAGCUUUGACAAAGUUAUGCAUAAACUGAGGAAGUAUAAAGUCAUAUUCAGAAGAACAUCAGUCACUUAGCAAAGGUCUUGCAUAGCAGGGGACAGACAGAAGUAAAAGAUUUUUAGGAAAAGAAAACUGUAAAAGUUUUUUUUCCCUCACAAUUUUCUUGGGGGCUUGAAAUAAAAGCGGAUCAAUAUGGAAAAAGCAUGACAGAAUGGAGCAGCCCACUGCCACAGGAUGUUCUGAGCAUGGAGGAAACCGGCUGGUGGGGGAGCUGCAGCUGCAGCUUUCUUUUGGGAGAAUAGCUGCUGUCCUUUGCCAUUCCUGAGCUGGCAUUUUACUCACCAGUCUCUGGGCAAGGAUUCCAAGCCAAACACCACAUCCAGUGGUUUCUGUCUGGAGAGGAUAUGAGUCUUCCACAUUCAGCUGUAGUGAAGAAGAUUA